rnacentral:rRNA from 1 species
CCUACGGGAGGCAGCAGUGAGGAAUAUUGGUCAAUGGACGGAAGCCUGAACCAGCCAAGCCGCGUGCAGGAUGACGGCCCUAUGAGUUGUAAACUGCUUUUAUACGAGGAUAAACCGCCAUACGUGUAGUCCUUUGAAUGUACCGUACGAAUAAGGACCGGCUAAUUCCGUGCCAGCAGCCGCGGUAAUACGGAGGAUCCAAGCGUUAUCCGGAUUUAUUGGGUUUAAAGGGUGCGUAGGCGGGAUGUCAAGUUUGAUGUGAAAUGUCCGGGCUGAACUCGGGAACUGCCUCUGAUACUGGCGAGCUAGAGAGUGGGUGAGGUAGGCGGAAUGCGUGGUGUAGCGGUGAAAUGCUUAGAGAUCACGCAGAACCCCGAUUGCGAAGGCAGCUUACC